AUGGGCAAGGCUACGGAGCGGUAUUUUUCAAAGAAAACUCGGUCACCUGAUCGAGAUAAUGAUACAGGCACAUCAAGGCCACCCACUAGACGUAGGCUAAGUGCAUCAAAUGUCACUGCAGCUAGUCUUCCGAAGCCUAAUAUUCAAACAAAAAUUAAUUUAGAUGAGUUGCCUUAUGAUCCGGCUGAUCGGAAAAGAAUUUUAGAGUACACAAGAAAUCCAAAAAAGCAAGAUGAGAUUAGGCGCAAAUAUUUAAUGAGGGGACCUUACAGGCCACCAUCUAUUUUGGUUUACCCGCAAAGGGAGUUUGGUGAUACUCAACGGAGAUUUAAUCCAGAUUGGUUUAACGAUUAUGAUCGUUGGCUUGAGUAUGGUGACAAAGUGCAUAAUGCUUUUUGUUUGUGUUGCUACCUUUUCAGAGAUUACAAUGAGGGACAAGCUGGAAGUGAUGCAUUUGCAAUUAACGGUUGGAACGGUUGGAACAAAAAAAGCAGACUAGAUACUCAUGAAGGUAAGGGUAAUGUUAAUAGCUUUCAUAAUGUAGCAGUAAAAAGAUGUGAUGCUUUCAUGAAUCAAGAUCAGUCAAUUCAUGUUGCUUUUGAUAAGCAAACUGAUCUUACAAAAAAGCAAAAUCAAAUCCGGCUUGAUGCUUCCAUUGAUUCGGCAUGCCAGCAGUCCGGUGCGCAGGCUCACCGAGAGGCGAGCCAUCGGUUUGACAGCCGUCCGCCUCUCUCCCACAACUCCCACAACUCCAUAUUAAUGGUGUGCCCGAGCGACCGCACCCCCAUCCUCACCACAUACACAAUCCUCUCUCUCCUCUUGCAUCCUCGACGCCGCUCUUAG
rnacentral:rRNA from 1 species